CAGUUAUAUAAUUAUUCCUUUCUUGUUAGUUUAUUAUUCAUUUAUUACCUUGACUUUUUUUUUUAAUGAACUAAUCAACAAAACUUACUGAACACUGCACUGUAACUGUUUGAUAUAAGUUGUCACUGUUACUUGCUAUAAUAUUCAAAUAACUGAUUUAAUCUGUUGUAUUAAUAUGAACAUAAGCAAUCACAGAGUCUUUCUCAACAGACAUGCAAUACUUUCUAAUGCCCACCUUUAAAGUCAGUUUUGAGAAACAGUGUAUGUACACAUGAUGUGAUUGGGGAGCUCCCUGGAGCCUCAUUUCAUUCUGCUUUGUCUGCUUUGUACAGAAUUUCAUUGCUCCUCUAAGGAAGACAAGAUGUCCCACCAAAGGCUGCACAUUCCUAAAGCUUCAUGUUCUGUAUGUGAACUAUGCAAAGUACUUGUAUGUGAGAGAAAAACAGAUGGCACACUAAACAGUGCACCGAGUAGUUCUACCAAAUUUUGAAGUUACACUACAUGACUGCUUGGACCUGACACCACCUUUCAUAGAUGUGGUGCAGUCUGGAAGCAUUUCUCUGAUAAAGCAGGAUCAGUCACUCCCUGGAGACUGGCCACAACAUGUCAUCACUCCUGAUUUUCAGCGGUGCUAAAGGAAUAAUACAGCACGCAGCCAAGAAGUCAAACAGUCCAUCACACCAAGACACCAAGACUUGCUAGUAAGAGGUAGAUAAACUCAGACUAAAUAUAGAAUCAUGUUUUAAACAGUAAGUAGUGCAAACC
rnacentral:lncRNA from 1 species